rnacentral:lncRNA from 1 species
CUGAGAUCCCAGCUGGAUGCAUAUGAAGCUCUUUGGGGAUGAUGAAUUCCAGGCAUGGUUUAAGAUCUGGUCAUUUUGCCCUGUUGUUCUUGUAUUCCUUCUGUUUGACCAUUUGUAGCUUUUCAUUUCUUUGGUCAGAGUAAUAGCUCUUAAGCAGAUGGUUGUAAUCAGUCCCCAGGGGUGAGCCUUGGAGGGAAGUUGGACAGAGACUCAGCAAAGAUCGAGGAUUCUGUGACUCACUCAGCUCGACCCCAGGCCAGCAGUGAGGAUGCUGAUUGCUUCCAACAUGUUCUUCUGAGCUGAGAAUUCCAGUAGCCAGGGGCUCUUUGACUCUUCUACCCCAACAAGACAAGGGAUCAGGGCUCACUAGGAGGAAGCAGCAGACGGCUGAGGUCCUUGGCCUUGGCAAGGCAGGACACAAAGGCUGAAGCUGAAGGUUGUUAUUUAAACCCAAGUUCCCAACUGAGCAAGUCAGUGUCACCAGUGUUUACAAUACCUACAAAGAUCUCUCAUAAGCAGAACGACGCAGCCGCAAGCCAGACAAAGAAAC